rnacentral:rRNA from 1 species
GUUCCAUCAUACCAUGCCUACUACGCCGCAUCCCAUCAGAACUGCGAAGCUAAGCGGCAUUGGGCCAGAAUAGUACUGGGAUGGGUGACCUCCCGGGAAGUCCUGGUGUGGAACC